GGCUACUAACUUUGUCUGGCUCAUCAUUAAGCUUAUGCUGCCAAAUUCACUGUCUCUAAUCUCCAAAUGCUUUUCUUGCUUCUGUUAGGGAUUGAUAUGCAUGGCGUGCAUAUGUUCUGCAUAUGAUAAUAAAUCUCUGUUUCCCUAUCUAAAUUGCAGUGAAGCUGCCAUCGGCUACAGAAUAAGUAAAUUUGAGUAAAAUGACAGCUUCAUUUUCAUUUCUUUAGUUAAUUUACCGCUAACCUUGACAACCCAGAUUUUUGUGAACUAGAGUUGUCUUAACAUUGAACUUCAGUAAGAAACAUAAAGGUUCUUUACAAAGCUAGAAUUUCAACUUGUUUUUACUCUGCAUUCAGGGUAGGUUUACAUGACCACCAGAUGACCUGUUUACAUGAUUACAUGGCCUGUUCAGUUUACUGCCAAAUCUGGAUUUUGAUACUCUUUGCCAUGUGCAGCUGAC